AGUGAACGCUGGCGGUAGGCCUAACACAUGCAAGUCGAACGGCAGCACAGUAAGAGCUUGCUCUUACGGGUGGCGAGUGGCGGACGGGUGAGGAAUACAUCGGAAUCUACUUUUUCGUGGGGGAUAACGUAGGGAAACUUACGCUAAUACCGCAUACGACCUACGGGUGAAAGCAGUGGAUCUUCGGACCUUGCGCGAUUGAAUGAGCCGAUGUCGGAUUAGCUAGUUGGCGGGGUAAAGGCCCACCAAGGCGACGAUCCGUAGCUGGUCUGAGAGGAUGAUCGGCCACACUGGAACUGAGACACGGUCCAGACUCCUACGGGAGGCAGCAGUGGGGAAUAUUGGACAAUGGGCGCAAGCCUGACCCAGCCACACCGCGUGGGUGAAGAAGGCCUUCGGGUUGUAAAGCCCUUUUGUUGGGAAAGAAAAGCAGCAGGUUAAUACCCCGCUGUUCUGACGGUACCCAAAGAAUAAGCACCGGCUAACUUCGUG
rnacentral:rRNA from 1 species